rnacentral:rRNA from 1 species
AUUGAACGCUGGCGGCAGGCCUAACACAUGCAAGUCGAGCGGAUGAAGGGAGCUUGCUCCUGGAUUCAGCGGCGGACGGGUGAGUAAUGCCUAGGAAUCUGCCUGGUAGUGGGGAUAACGUCCGGAAACGGGCGCUAAUACCGCAUACGUCCUGAGGGAGAAAGUGGUUGAUCUUCGGACCUCACGCUAUAAGAUGAGCCUACGUCGGAUUAGCUAGUUGGGGGGGUAUAGGCCUACCAAGUCGACGAUCCGUAACUGGUCUGAGAGGAUGAUCAGUCACACUGGAACUGAGACACGGUCCAGACUCCUACGGGAGGCAGCAGUGGGGAAUAUUGGACAAUGGGCGAAAGCCUGAUCCAGCCAUGCCGCGUGAGUGAAGAAGGUCUUCGGAUUGUAAAGCAUUUUAAGUUGGGAGGAAGGGCAGUAAGUUAAUACCUUGCUGUUUUGACGGUACCAACAGAAUAAGCACCGGCUAACUUCGUG